GUGGAAUGAUGAUGACGUUCAUCCAUUCUCCAAGCGUGCUGCCUGUCCUCCUGGCCUGCUUUGGGACUCUCGUUCUGGGGGCUCUGAGCUAUGCAGCCACCACACUUCGUGAAGUCUUCUAGCGUUCUGUUGGGGACAGUGGGUGGGUGUGGGCCUGUGAUCAGGAACGAGACAGUGGCAGCCAAGAUGGUACCCUUCUGUUUGGGGUCCCAUUGGGCUGAGACGAAGGCUGAUGGCCUGAUCAC
rnacentral:snoRNA from 1 species